AGCAGCUUGGCGCAGUGGAAGCGCGGUAUGUUUACUCAUUCACACGAAAUUCAAAUUCGUACUAACUCUCCUCAGCCGGGCUCAUAACCCGGAGGUCACUGGAUCGAAACCAGUAGCUGCUA
rnacentral:tRNA from 1 species